AAGCUGCUUACCAGUCCGCCGGGAGAAUUUGAAUGUACAAGUUGUUCAGAAUCAGCUACGGGAUCCCCUUUUCCAUCAUCAGCUUGAAUCUGGUUUCACGUGUUUUGUCUCUACAAUUGAAGAACAACUCAAGACAUAGUACUAAUUACCUGGAUGAAGCUUUGAUCUGAGGAGAAUCUGAAUCGGGAGCAAUAAACUUUAGGCCCUUGGCUUGAUUUGUGUUUUUGUCCUCCAGCAAUUUGUAAGGAAU